GGAUGUGAGGAGUGAUCUGGCUGUGAUAUCUGUCAUUCCACUGAUCAUCAGAGUUGAUUCAGCUGAUCUGGUGGCUAGGCGGGUGUCUCCUUUCUCCCUCACAGCCCCAUGUGUGUCCCUUCCUAAUAGAGAACAGAGGAGACCAUUCUUCAGUCAGCUGUGCUCCCCUGCUAGAAUCUCCAAACAAAUCCUCAAAAAUGUAAAUUGCCACAACCUCUUUGCAAGGAACUUCAAAAUAGGUUCUAAUAGCCUCCAUAUUU
rnacentral:snRNA from 1 species